GUGGCGAUUUUAUUGUCGUAGUUGUGCAAUAUAAGGCGCGAACUCGGCUGCUGUCUUCACUUCUGGAAAGCAGACGACAGACUUGUACUCGCUAAACACAGAAACAUUCUCCACUCCAAGAUGAAGACUCUUCUCUUUGUUCUCCUCGUCUGUUCCCUGGCUUACGUCAGUGUUUCAGCAGCAACGCUGUGCGUGUGCACCACGGCCCAGGAUCCAGUCUGCGCCAACGACGUCACCUACGCCAACCCUUGUCUGGCUGGAUGCGCGGGAGUUACAACGUACACAACCGGAGGAUGUCCAGUGGUUUCUCCACAUUGAACACAAGACCAAGGACUUUUGAAUUAAAAUGUAAUUGAAAACAUCCUGAAUGUUAAAAUGAUGAUCAUUAUGGACUGUAAUUAAUUGAAAUAAAAUAACUUGAGCAUUA